rnacentral:rRNA from 1 species
AACGAACGCUGGCGGCAGGCCUAACACAUGCAAGUCGAGCGCCCCGCAAGGGGAGCGGCGCACGGGUGAGUAACACGUAGGUAACCUGCCCCCCAGUCUGGAACAACUAGAGGAAACUCUAGCUUAUGCCGGAUGAGACCACGAUCCCUUCGGGGGUUGCGGCCAAAGAUGGCCUCUACUUGUAAGCUAUCGCUGAGGGAUGGGCCUGCGGGCCAUUAGCUUGUUGGUGAGGUAACGGCUCACCAAGGCUGUGAUGGCUAGCUGGUCUGAGAGGAUGACCAGCCACACUGGGACUGAGACACGGCCCAGACUCCUACGGGAGGCAGCAGUGGGAAUAUUGCGCAAUGGGCGAAAGCCUGACGCAGCGACGCCGCGUGGGUGAUGAAGGCC